rnacentral:rRNA from 1 species
CGAAAGCCUGACGGAGCAAUACCGCGUGAGGGAGGAAGGCUCUUGGGUUGUAAACCUCUUUUCUCAGGGAAGAAAAAAAUGACGGUACCUGAGGAAUAAGCAUCGGCUAACUCCGUGCCAGCAGCCGCGGUAAUACGGAGGAUGCAAGCGUUAUCCGGAAUGAUUGGGCGUAAAGGGUCCGCAGGUGGCUAUGUAAGUCUGCUGUUAAAGAACCUAGCUUAACUAGGUAAAAGCAGUGGAAACUACAAGGCUAGAGUGCGUUCGGGGUAGAGGGAAUUCCUGGUGUAGCGGUGAAAUGCGUAGAUAUCAGGAAGAACACCAGUGGCGAAGGCGCUCUACUAGGCCGCAACUGACACUGAGGGACGAAAGCUAGGGGAGGAAUGGGAUUAGAUACCCCAGUAGUCCUAGCCGUAAACGAUGGAUACUAGGCGUGGCUUGUAUCGACCCCGAGCCGUGCCGGAGCUAACGCGUUAAGUAUCCCGCCUGGGGAGUACGCACGCAAGUGUGAAACUCAAAGGAAUUGACGGGGGCCCGCACAAGCGGUGGAGUAUGUGGUUUAAUUCGAUGCAACGCGAAGAACCUUACCAAGACUUGACAUGUCGCGAAUCUUYUUGAAAGGGAAGAGUGCCUUAGGGAGCGCGAACACAGGUGGUGCAUGGCUGUCGUCAGCUCGUGUCGUGAGAUGUUGGGUUAAGUCCCGCAACGAGCGCAACCCUCGUUUUUAGUUGCCAGCAUUAAGUUGGGCACUCUAGAGAGACUGCCGGUGACAAACCGGAGGAAGGUGGGGAUGACGUCAAGUCAGCAUGCCCCUUACGUCUUGGGCUACACACGUACUACAAUGCUACGGACAAAGGGUAGCUACACAGCAAUGUGAUGCCAAUCUCAGAAACCGUAGCUCAGUUCAGAUCGCAGGCUGCAACUCGCCUGCGUGAAGUCGGAAUCGCUAGUAAUUGCAGGUCAGCAUACUGCAGUGAAUUCGUUCCCGGGCCUUGUACACACCGCCCGUCACACCAUGGAAGCUGGUCACGCCCGAAGUCGUUACCCCAACUUCGGAGAGGGGGAUGC